GAUGAAGAACGCAGCGAAAUGCGAUAAGUAAUGCGAAUUGCAGAAUUCCAGUGAGUCAUCGAAUCUUUGAACGCACAUUGCGCCCUUUGGUAUUCCGAAGGGCAUGCCUGUUCGAGCGUCAUUAUCACCCCUCAAGCCCCCGGCUUGGUGUUGGACGGUUUGGUGGAGGCCCCCUCGGGGGCUCCUGCCCCUCCCAAAGACAAUGACGGCGGCCUCGUUGGACCCCCGGUACACUGAGUUCUUCACGGGACACGUAUCGGACACAUGGGUUUACGGGACACGGUCUGCCGCCCCUCAGGGAGAAUCUUUCUAAGGUUGACCUCGGAUCAGGUAGGGAUACCCGCUGAACUUAAGCAUAUCAAUAAGCGGAGGA
rnacentral:misc_RNA from 1 species